AUUGAACGCUGGCGGCAGGCCUAACACAUGCAAGUCGAACGAGUGGCGGACGGGUGAGUAAUGUCUGGGAAACUGCCUGAUGGAGGGGGAUAACUACUGGAAACGGUAGCUAAUACCGCCUACCCUCAGCUUUGCCCAGAUGGGAUUAGCUAGUGGGUGGGGUAACGGCUCACCAAGGCGACGAUCCCUAGCUGGUCUGAGAGGAUGACCAGCCACACUGGAACUGAGACACGGUCCAGAAUCCUACGGGAGGCAGAAGUGGGGAAUAUUGCACAAGGGGCGCAAGCCUGAUGCAGCCAUGCCGCGGGUAUGAAGAAGGCCUUCGGGGUGUAAAGUACUUUCAGCGGGGAGGCGUUACCCGCAGAAGAAGCACCGGCUAACUCCGUGCCAGCAGCGGCGGUAAUAC
rnacentral:rRNA from 1 species